AUAAUACUCCCUCCGUCUAGAAUUACUUGUCAUCAAAAUGGAUGUGUCUAGAACUAAAAUACAUCUAGAUACAUCCAUUUCAAUCACAAGUAUUUUCGGACGGAGGGAGUAGUAG
rnacentral:pre_miRNA from 1 species